GCAGGGGGUAGGCGGGGAAGAGGGUACAGUCCCUUCAACGGGCACAGACACAGGCGAAGAAAUGGGUGAAGGCACAGGCGAAGAGAUGGCCACAGGCAAAGGUGGAAAAGGUGGCAAGGUUGGAA